AGCUGCUGAGUGAGCGAAGCCUAGAAAAGAAGGGGGGACUCCACCGUAGGUGGCAGCACAAUACUCUAUUGAAAGGCUGCAGGCCUGAAAGCAACACAUGUGCCAGCCGGCGUCGUAUAACAGCAGUCUGGACCAGUUGCUGCACAGGAAAGCUUGAAAAGAGCAAUCAUGCAGUGACCUACACUUAGAAGUUUCUUCCUGGUGUCUUUCAGCUAAAGUUCUGUGCUGGAGUGAUAGAGACGGCAGGCUACAUUUCGCCUCGGAGAAGAGUUACAGGGUGAAUAAAUCCCUUCAUUAUUCUUUCUAAGAACUAUGUAAAAGAAACAAUGGUCCAAGGAGUGUUUCAGCGCAUCCCACAGACGUGCUUAUCUCUAAUAAAGAAUGCGCCCUUCAGAAUUA